CUCCUCGCAAUGUUCGACGUAGUGAUAGGUGUACGUUGUGUUUCGUUGCUCCGUAUAAUUGCAGCGUAUCAUGAAGUAACCUAGCAGAAAAUCGAAUGAAGUGAAUGUUAGUGCAUCAUUCUUCACGACAGCAGAAUUCUCAUCAUCGAAAAGAUCAACGAUACAUCCACGAUGUCCUUGAACUACGGGGUCCACUUAUCUUCCUUGUCAUUGGUCUUGUCGCCAUCUUCGAUACGGUUACAAGUGCACACGGUGUUUCGUCGCUCCGCAUAAUUACAGGUAAUUAGCAAUUUUUUUCUAACGUACAUACUCUUCCCAUAUAUCGAUCGAUAGCUGAACGCACGAUUUUUCAGAGGCCGCAUUCGCCAGUCGAGAAAUCAUCGCGUUCAAAAGAUAUUCGUGAAAAUAAAAUCGAUCUCUCGUGAGCCCCCCGGGGAACUAUUGCAUCAUACUUUUUUUUUAGUUUUUCAGCUUUGUUUUCACAACAUCGAUACUUUUCUCUUUUUUUUUUAACGAUGCUCCGGUCAAUAAUUUUGCGUUUAUAGUUGCGGAUCGACGAAUAUCUUAUAUUAAAUACGAUUUUCAUAUACGAACAUACGCAUACACACAUACACGCACACGUAUGUAUUCAUACUCCUAUGGAUUUCUCUACACACAUUACACACAUUUUAAUUUUACCUUGU